GAAAUGCGAUAAGUAAUGUGAAUUGCAGAAUUCAGUGAAUCAUCGAAUCUUGGAACGCACAUUGCGCCCGCCAGCACUCUGGCGGGCAUGCCUGUUCGAGCGUCAUUUCAACCCUCAGAACCCCUUGCGGGAUCUGGCGUUGGGGAUUGGCAUCCAGCCAGCCCCGAAAUCUAGUGGCGGUCCCUCCGCGACCUCCCCUGUGCAGUAGCGAUACCUCGCAGCGGGACAGCGGUCUGACCACGCCGUAAAACCCCCAACUUCUCAAGGUUGACCUCGAAUCAGGUAGGAAUACCCGCUGAACUUAAGC
rnacentral:misc_RNA from 1 species